UACGGAGGGUGCAAGCGUUAUCCGGAUUUACUGGGCGUAAAGCGCGUGUAGGCGGCUUUGCAAGUCGGAUGUGAAAGCCCACGGCUCAACCGUGGAAGUGCAUCCGAAACUGCAUGGCUGGAGUCUCGGAGAGGAAGGUGGAAUGCUUGGUGUAGAGGUGAAAUUCGUAGAUAUCAAGCAGAACACCUGCGGCGAAGGCGGCCUUCUGGACGAUGACUGACGCUGAGACGCGAAAGCGUGGGGAGCAAACAGG
rnacentral:rRNA from 1 species